rnacentral:rRNA from 1 species
UACAGAGGUCCCAAGCGUUGUUCGGAUUCACUGGGCGUAAAGGGUGCGUAGGUGGCCGGGAAAGUUUGAUGUGAAAGCUCGGAGCUUAACUCCGAAAUGGCAUUGAAUACUAUUCGGCUGGAGGGUCGGAGGGGAGACUGGAAUUCUCGGUGUAGCAGUGAAAUGCGUAGAUAUCGAGAGGAACACCAGUGGCGAAGGCGAGUCUCUGGACGACACCUGACACUGAGGCACGAAAGCUAGGGGAGCAAACAGG